rnacentral:rRNA from 1 species
GGCUAAAUAUUGGCGAGAGACUGAUAGCGAACAACUACCGUGAGGGAAAGAUGAAAAGAACUUUGAAAAGAGAGUUAAACAGUAUGUGAAAUUGUUGAAAGAGAAACGAUUGAAGUCAGUCAUACCAAUGGGAAAUCAACCUUUUGAGCUUGGUCUCAUGGGUUUUGAAAAGUUUCAAAGCCUUUAGAUUUGCAGAAUUAGGAUCUCUUGGCGUACUUUUUCGUAUAGUUAGUCAACAUCGGUUUUGAAUGUCAUAAAAUGACUAGAGAAAUGUAGCUUCGAUCUCAUAUUGAAGUGUUAUAGCCUUUGGUAGAUGUGAUGUUUGAGACCGAGAAUUGCAACGGAUACCCUUCAGGGCUAUUCGUCUGAUCUCUGAUACGUUGCCUUAAUGUUGAAAGCUUGCUUAUGAUGUUAGGGUAUUACGGUCAAAAGGUUAGAACGAAUUACA